GACGAACGCUGGCGGCGUGCUUAACACAUGCAAGUCGAACGGUAAGGCCCUUCGGGGUACACGAGUGGCGAACGGGUGAGUAACACGUGGGUGAUCUGCCCUGCACUUCGGGAUAAGCCUGGGAAACUGGGGCUAAUACCGGAUAGGACUCCGGACUGCAUGGUCUGGGGUGGAAAGCUUUUGCGGUGUGGGAUGGGCCCGCGGCCUAUCAGCUUGUUGGUGGGGUGAUGGCCUACCAAGGCGACGACGGACAGCCGGCCUGAGAGGGUGACCGGCCACGCUGGGACUGAGAUACGGCCCAGACUCCUACGGGAGGCAGCAGUGGGGAAUAUUGCACAAUGGGCGCAAGCCUGAUGCAGCGACGCCGCGUGAGGGAUGACGGCCUUCGGGUUGUAAACCUCUUUCAGCAUCGACGAAGCGAAAGUGACGGUAGGUGCAGAAGAAGGACCGGCCAACUACGUGCCAGCAGCCGCCGUAA
rnacentral:rRNA from 1 species